rnacentral:rRNA from 1 species
UACGGAGGGGGUUAGCGUUGUUCGGAAUUACUGGGCGUAAAGCGUACGUAGGCGGAUCAGAAAGUUGGGGGUGAAAUCCCGGGGCUCAACCCCGGAACUGCUCCAAACUCUGGUCUUGAGUUCGAGAGAGGUGAGUGGAAUUCCAAGUGUAGAGGUGAAAUUCGUAGAUAUUUGGAGGAAAGCAC